AAAGUCGUAACAAGGUUUCCGUAGGUGAACCUGCGGAAGGAUCAUUAACAAAGUUAAAGGGGUCUGGCAAGCAAUUGCCAGCGCCUCUCAUAUCCAAACCAUUGUGAACCGUUUCGUGUCCUUUGGGUCAUUGCUUUACAGCGACGACCCGAGGGAAUCCCACAAUUAAACCAAUAGUUUUAAAAACAACAAGUCUUAUUCACUUUUAUACAAAUGUGUAAAUCUAAAUACAACUUUUAACAAUGGAUCUCUAGGCUCUU
rnacentral:misc_RNA from 1 species